GUGUUGAUUUGGCUGGAGAGGUGCAGAUUUCUCUCUUCCCUCACAGAUUCAUCAGUACUCCUCCUGAAGCCAUGCCCUUAACCUUGAUGGAUUGUUGAGCUCUGUUCUUCUGUCAAACGUAUACAGAGUAAUUUUGCUCUCCUGCUAAAACUUGCAAACAGGCUCUCAAGUUCCACUUGUAGGAGAAUAUAGGGUUGUCAAACUAAUCAAGAUUCCAAGACUCCAAACAUCUCUACAGGAGGAACUACACUAGCUUCCUCUUCUCUCCUUCUGG
rfam:Rattus norvegicus chromosome 14, whole genome shotgun sequence.